rnacentral:rRNA from 1 species
UGGGGAAUUUUGGACAAUGGGCGAAAGCCUGAUCCAGCAAUGCCGCGUGUGUGAAGAAGGCCUUCGGGCUGUAAAGCACUUUUGUCCGGAAAGAAAUCCUUGGCUCUAAUACAGUCGGGGGAUGACGGUACCGGAAGAAUAAGCACCGGCUAACUACGUGCCAGCAGCCGCGGUAAUACGUAGGGUGCAAGCGUUAAUCGGAAUUACUGGGCGUAAAGCGUGCGCAGGCGGUUUGCUAAGACCGAUGUGAAAUCCCCGGGCUCAACCUGGGAACUGCAUUGGUGACUGGCAGGCUAGAGUAUGGCAGAGGGGGGUAGAAUUCCACGUGUAGCAGUGAAAUGCGUAGAGAUGUGGAGGAAUACCGAUGGCGAAGGCAGCCCCUGGGCCCAAUGACUGACGCUCAUGCACGAAAGCGUGGGGAGCAAACAGGAUUAGAUACCCUGGUAGUCCACGCCCUAAACGAUGUCAACUAGUUGUUGGGGAUUCAUUUCCUUAGUAACGUAGCUAACGCGUGAAGUUGACCGCCUGGGGAGUACGGUCGCAAGAUUAAAACUCAAAGGAAUUGACGGGGUCAUAGCUGUUUCCU